rnacentral:rRNA from 1 species
AUGAACGCUAGCAAUAUGCUUUACACAUGCAAGUCAAAUGUGUCGUUUAUAUUAAACGCUACAUGGCAAACGGGUGAGUAACGCGUAGGAAUCUACCUAACAGUACGGAAUAAGUUGCACAGGCAUCCUGUGAAAUCAAUACCGUAUAUAUAAAAGAUGUAUAUCGCUGUUAGAUGAGCCUGCGUAAGAUUAGGUAGUUGGUAAGGUAAUGGCUUACCAAGCCGUUGAUCUUUAGCUGGUCUGAGAGGAUGAUCAGCCACACUAGGACUGAGACACGGCCUAGACUCCUAAGGGAGGCAGCAGUGGGGAAUAUUGGACAAUGGGCGCAAGCCUGAUCCAGCAAUAUUGCGUGGGUGAUGAAGGCCCUUUUGGUUGUAAAGCCCUUUCGGCGAGGAUGAUAGUGACAGUACUCGCAUAAGAAGCCUCGGCUAACUCCGU